GACAGAGGAUGCAAACGUUGCUCGGAAUUACUGGGCGUAAAGCGCGCGCAGGUGGUCGGGUAAGUCGGGUGUGAAAUCCCGGGGCUCAACCUCGGAAGUGCACACGAUACUGCCGGACUCGAGUACUGGAGAGGAGAGCGGAAUUCCCGGUGUAGAGGUGAAAUUCGUAGAUAUCGGGAGGAACACCAGUGGCGAAGGCGGCUCUCUGGACAGAUACUGACACUGAGGCGCGAAAGCGUGGGAAGCAAACAGG
rnacentral:rRNA from 1 species